rnacentral:rRNA from 1 species
AACAGGAUUAGAUACCCUGGUAGUCCACGCCGUAAACGGUGGGCGCUAGAUGUGGGGACCAUUCCACGGUUUCCGUGUCGCAGCUAACGCAUUAAGCGCCCCGCCUGGGGAGUACGGCCGCAAGGCUAAAACUCAAAGGAAUUGACGGGGGCCCGCACAAGCGGCGGAGCAUGCGGAUUAAUUCGAUGCAACGCGAAGAACCUUACCAAGGCUUGACAUACACGAGAACGGGCCAGAAAUGGUCAACUCUUUGGACACUCGUGAACAGGUGGUGCAUGGUUGUCGUCAGCUCGUGUCGUGAGAUGUUGGGUUAAGUCCCGCAACGAGCGCAACCCUCGUCCUAUGUUGCCAGCACGUAAUGGUGGGAACUCAUGGGAGACUGCCGGGGUCAACUCGGAGGAAGGUGGGGAUGACGUCAAAUCAUCAUGCCCCUUAUGUCUUGGGCUUCACGCAUGCUACAAUGGCCGGUACAAAGGGCUGCAAUACCGUAAGGUGGAGCGAAUCCCAAAAAGCCGGUCUCAGUUCGGAUUGAGGUCUGCAACUCGACCUCAUGAAGUUGGAGUCGCUAGUAAUCGCAGAUCAGCAACGCUGCGGUGAAUACGUUCCCGGGCCUUGUACACACCGCCCGUCAAGUCAUGAAAGUCGGUAACACCCGAAGCCGGUGGCCCAACCUUUUGGGGGGAGCCGUCGAAGGUGGGAUCGGUAAUUAGGACUAAGUCGUAACAAGGUAACC